rnacentral:rRNA from 1 species
UACGUAAGGCGCAAGCGUUAUCCGGAAUUAUUGGGCGUGAAGAGCUCGUAGGCGGUGUGUCGCGUCUGCCGUGAAAGUCCGGGGCUUAACUCCGGAUCUGCGGUGGGUACGGGCAGACUAGAGUGCAGUAGGGGAGACUGGAAUUCCUGGUGUAGCGGUGAAAUGCGCAGAUAUCAGGAGGAACACCGAUGGCGAAGGCAGGUCUCUGGGCUGUAACUGACGCUGAGGAGCGAAAGCAUGGGGAGCGAACAGG